rnacentral:rRNA from 1 species
CUACGGGAGGCAGCAGUAGGGAAUCUUCCGCAAUGGACGAAAGUCUGACGGAGCAACGCCGCGUGAGUGAUGAAGGCUUUCGGGUCGUAAAACUCUGUUGUUAGGGAAGAACAAGUGCUAGUUGAAUAAGCUGGCACCUUGACGGUACCUAACCAGAAAGCCACGGCUAACUACGUGCCAGCAGCCGCGGUAAUACGUAGGUGGCAAGCGUUAUCCGGAAUUAUUGGGCGUAAAGCGCGCGCAGGUGGUUUCUUAAGUCUGAUGUGAAAGCCCACGGCUCAACCGUGGAGGGUCAUUGGAAACUGGGAGACUUGAGUGCAGAAGAGGAAAGUGGAAUUCCAUGUGUAGCGGUGAAAUGCGUAGAGAUAUGGAGGAACACCAGUGGCGAAGGCGACUUUCUGGUCUGUAACUGACACUGAGGCGCGAAAGCGUGGGGAGCAAACAGGAUUAGAUACCCUGGUAGUCCACGCCGUAAACGAUGAGUGCUAAGUGUUAGAGGGUUUCCGCCCUUUAGUGCUGAAGUUAACGCAUUAAGCACUCCGCCUGG